CCUACGGGUGGCAGCAGUAGGGAAUUUUGCGCAAUGGGCGAAAGCCUGACGCAGCAACGCCGCGUGAUCGAGACGCCCUUCGGGGUGUAAAGAUCUGUCAGUGGGGACGAAACUUGACGGUACCCACAGAGGAAGCACCGGCUAACUCCGUGCCAGCAGCCGCGGUAAUACGGGGGGCGCAAGCGUUGUCCGGAAUCAUUGGGCGUAAAGCGUUCGUAGGCGGGACGUAAAGUAAGGGGUUAAAGGCAUAGGCUCAACUUCUGUACGGUACUUGAUACUUGCGAGCUAGAGUGCGGUAGAGGUAAAGGGAAUGCCUGGUGUAGCGGUGAAAUGCUUAGAUAUCAGGAGGAACAUCGGUGGCGUAGGCGCUUUACUGGGCCGUAAUUGACGCUGAGGAACGAAAGCCAGGGGAGCAAAUGGGAUUAGAUACCCUUGUAGUC
rnacentral:rRNA from 1 species